UACGUAGGGCGCAAGCGUUAUCCGGAAUUAUUGGGCGUAAAGAGCUCGUAGGCGGUUUGUCGCGUCUGCCGUGAAAGUCCGGGGCUCAACUCCGGAUCUGCGGUGGGUACGGGCAGACUAGAGUGAUGUAGGGGAGACUGGAAUUCCUGGUGUAGCGGUGAAAUGCGCAGAUAUCGAGAGGAACACCUGCGGCGAAGGCGGGUUGCUGGGCUGAUACUGACGCUGAGGCGCGAAAGCUAGGGGAGCGAACGGG
rnacentral:rRNA from 1 species